rnacentral:rRNA from 1 species
UACGGGGGGGGCAAGCGUUGUUCGGAAUUACUGGGCGUAAAGGGCUCGUAGGCGGUUCGAUAAGUCGGGUGUGAAACCCCCAGGCUCAACCUGGGGACGCCACCCGAUACUGUCGUGACUAGAGUCCAGUAGGGGAGUGUGGAAUUCCCGGUGUAGCGGUGAAAUGCGCAGAUAUCGGGAGGAACACCAGCGGCGAAGGCGGCACUCUGGGCUGGAACUGACGCUGAGGAGCGAAAGCGUGGGUAGCAAACAGG